rnacentral:rRNA from 1 species
UACAGAGGGUGCGAGCGUUGUUCGGAAUUAUUGGGCGUAAAGCGCGUGUAGGCGGUGAUGCAUGUCGGGUGUGAAAGCCCUCAGCUCAACUGAGGAAGUGCGCCCGAAACUGCAUCGCUGGAGUGCCGGAGAGGAAGGCGGAAUUCCCGGUGUAGAGGUGAAAUUCGUAGAUAUCGGGAGGAACACCAGUGGCGAAGGCGGCCUUCUGACGGACACUGACGCUGAGACGCGAAAGCGUGGGUAGCAAACAGG